CAAUAGCGUAUAUCAAAGUUGUUGCAGUUAAAAAGCUCGUAGUUGGAUUUGUGGCGUACGGUGUGUUCCGGGCACUUGUUGUCUGAGUAACCUGCUGUUGCCAUCCUUGGGUGGAACCUGUGUGGCAUUAGGUUGUCGUGCAGGGGAUGCCCAUCAUUUACUGUGAAAAAAUUAGAGUGUUCAAAGCAGGCUUAUGCCGUUGAAUAUAUUAGCAUGGAAUAAUGAGAUAGGACUUUUUUGCUAUUUUGUUGGUUUGCGCGAAGAGGUAAUGAUUAAUAGGGACAGUUGGGGGUAUUCGUAUUCCAUUGUCAGAGGUGAAAUUCUUGGAUUUUUGGAAGACGAACUACUGCGAAAGCAUUUACCAAGGAUGUUUUCAUUAA
rnacentral:rRNA from 1 species